UUUUGGACAAUGGGGGCAACCCUGAUCCAGCCAUGCCGCGUGAGUGAAGAAGGCCUUCGGGUUGUAAAGCUCUUUCGGUGAAGACGAAACGGUUAGCUGUUAAUAACACUGACUAAUGACGGCUACNUCACAGAAGAAUGCACCGGCUAACUACGUGCCAGCAGCCGCGGUAAUA
rnacentral:rRNA from 1 species